AUGUCUCCCACCCAUGACAAGCAUAGCUCCCAGGGGCUGCUCCAGGCUCAAGUUGAUCUUUGGCACCACACAUUGGGAUUUGUCAAGUCCGUGGCACUCAGAUGUGCAACAGAACUGCGAAUCCCUGACAUCAUCCAACACCAUGGUGGUUCUAUGACCCCUUCAGAGUUGGCCUCAAAGAUCGGGCUCCAUCCGUCUAGGCUUCCCCACUUACGGCGACUCAUGCGUGUGCUCACCGUGCCAGGCAUCUUUCUUGUUCCUGAAGUAGCCUCACCAGACAAUGAGGUUUCUUACGGGCUUACUCCAACCGCAUGCCUACUUGCCAGCUGCGAUGAAGUUAGAUCAAACAUAUCUCCCUUUCUAUCUUUGUUACUUGAUUCAACUUUCACUGCACCCUUUUUUGGCAUGCACUCAUGGUUCCUGGAUGAGCAUUCCACGUCCAUGUUCAAGAAGGCUCACGGCCUUAACUUUUGGGAGAUGGCUGAGCAGGACGAUACUUACAACCAGCUAAUCAACGACGUGAUGGUUUCUGAUAGUAACUUUCUCAUGGAUAUCAUCUUGAGGGAGUAUGCUGGUGUAUUUCUCUGCAUAAACUCACUUAUUGAUUUCGCCGGAGGACACGGCGGAUCUGCCAGGGCAAUUGCUAAGGCGUUUCCACAAAUGAAGUGCACCGUGUUGGAUCACCCUCAUGUGGUUGAAGGAGCUCCUACCAGUGACCAUGUGUCAUUUAUUUCUGGCGAUAUGUUUAAGUACAUUCCACCAGCGGAUGCUCUCUUCCUGAAGUGGGUUUUCCAUGAUUGGGGUGAUGAAGAUUGUGUCAAGAUACUGAAAAAUUGCAAGGAAGCUAUACCUCCCAGAGAAGCUGGUGGAAAGGUGAUAAUCGUAGAUAUGGUGGUUGGAUCUGGGCCAAAUAUGAGAGUGUAA
rnacentral:rRNA from 1 species